rnacentral:rRNA from 1 species
CCUACGGGAGGCAGCAGUGAGGAAUAUUGGUCAAUGGGCGCGAGCCUGAACCAGCCAAGUAGCGUGAAGGAUGACUGCCCUACGGGUUGUAAACUUCUUUUAUAAAGGAGUAAAGUGAGGCACGUGUGCCUUAUUGUAUGUACUUUAUGAAUAAGGAUCGGCUAACUCCGUGCAAGCAGCCGCGGUAAUACGGAGGAUCCGAGCGUUAUCCGGAUUUAUUGGGUUUAAUGGGAGCGUAGAUGGGUUGUUAAGUCAGUUGUGAAAGGUUGCGGCUCAACCGUAAAAUUGCAAUUGAUACUGGCAGUCUAGAGUACAGUUGAGGUAAGCGGAAUUCGUGGUGUAGCGGUGAAAUGCUUAGAUAUCACGAAGAACACCGGUUGCGAAGGCGGCUUACUAAACUGCAACUGACAUUGAGGCUCGAAAGUGUGGGUAUCAAACAGGAUUAGAUACCCCUGUAGUC